UUGGUCCAUAAGAAAGAUGUUCGUUAGAAUGACAAACCUCGCAUUUGGUAUGGUCCGAUGUUAAUCCGGGUUCAAGAGAGGAUAGCGAACCUGCACUUCAUCUACAAGUGCAAUGACACAGAGGCUCUGUGGAUGCUUUGAAUGAAAAGAACACCUUUCGCCAGGCUUGUGUAGAGUGUAUUCAUGAGCGGGGGGCUACUAGAAGAUAACAUCCACACCAAUGUGGAAGAUCAAGUAGCCAUGUUCCUCCAUGUUGUUGGUCAUAAUCAGAGGUUCAAAGUUGUACACAACACCUUCAGGAGAUCAAUGGAGACCAUCUCUAGGUACUUCAAGCAAGUGUUGUAUGUUGCUGGGGAACUUAGAGGAGAGAUGAUCGUGUCACCAACCGCCCGGACUCCUACCAAGAUUCACACUAGCCCAAGUUGGUAUCCAUACUUCAAGGUGAGCACUGACAUUAUGUAG
rnacentral:rRNA from 1 species